UGGGGAAUCUUGCACAAUGCGCGAAAGCGUGAUGCAGCAACGCCGCGUGGGGGAAGACGGCCUUCGGGUUGUAAACCCCUUUCAGUUGGGACGAAGCUUCGCCGGUGAAUAGCCGGCUGGAGUGACGGUACCUUCAGAAGAAGCCCCGGCUAACUACGUGCCAGCAGCCGCGGUAAUACGUAGGGGGCAAGCGUUGUCCGGAAUCAUUGGGCGUAAAGCGCGUGUAGGCGGGUUCAGUAAGUCUGCUGUGAAAGUCCAGGGCUCAACCCUGGGAUGCCGGUGGAUACUGCUGGGCUAGAGUGCGGAAGAGGCGAGUGGAAUUCCCGGUGUAGCGGUGAAAUGCGCAGAUAUCGGGAGGAACACCAAUUGCGAAGGCAGCUCGCUGGGACGUUACUGACGCUGAGACGCGAAAGCGUGGGGAGCAAACAGGAUUAGAUACCCUGGUAGUCCACGCCGUAAACGAUGGGCACUAGGUGUGGGAGGUGUCGACUCCUUCCGUGCCGAAGCUAACGCAUUAA
rnacentral:rRNA from 1 species